UACAGAGGUCUCAAGCGUUGUUCGGAUUUAUUGGGCGUAAAGCGUCCGCAGGUGGCACUUCAAGUCUGUCGUCAAAGACUGGGGCUUAACCCUGGAAAGGCGGUGGAAACUGAAGCGCUAGAGUGCGGUAGGGGUAGAGGGAAUUCCCGGUGUAGCGGUGAAAUGCGUAGAGAUCGGGAAGAACAUCGGUGGCGAAAGCGCUCUACUGGGCCGCAACUGACACUCAGGGACGAAAGCUAGGGGAGCGAAUGGG
rnacentral:rRNA from 1 species